rnacentral:rRNA from 1 species
UACGUAGGGUGCAAGCGUUGUCCGGAAUUACUGGGCGUAAAGGGCUCGUAGGCGGCCAACUAAGUCAGACGUGAAAUCCCCAGGCUCAACCUGGGAACUGCGUCUGAUACUGGAUGGCUUGAAUCCGGGAGAGGGAUGCAGAAUUCCAGGUGUAGCAGUGAAAUGCGUAGAGAUGCGGAGGAACACCGAUGGCGAAGGCAGCCCCCUGGGCUAGCACUGACGCUCAGGCACGAAAGCGUGGGGAGCAAACAGG